GUUAAGUUGACCUUAGUAUCCGUUUUUAGCAAUAGAUAAUGACAGGUAAGACAAGGAUCCCCUAAGGAGAACAUGGUAUGAGUUAUGGUUGAGCAGUGGAUUCUGAAUGAUAAAGGAUUUACGCGUUAUACAAUCAUGAGAACUUCUAAUAUGGCAGCAUUCUGCUACUGCAUGUAUUUCUCAGACGAUUAGUAAUUUAAUCAUAUUGUGCCGGACGAAAACUUUUG
rnacentral:misc_RNA from 1 species